CAACUGUUGAGAAAAAGGUGAGUUCCUCCUUCGUUUGCAUCACCUUGAGAAGAGUCUCCUCACUGCAUUGAACGAGGUCAAGGGUCGUAUCCUAGACAACAACAGGUCAGUACAGUGUUCUUAGAGCUAGUGAUGAUGAUGAUGAUACUCCCCCACCAGUACCAGCCUAUAAUUCUAAUGGAGUACAAGAAUACUAUGAACUGAAGAGAGAGGCAGAGGUAUAAUAAACAAAAUACCAGACAUACAAUAACAAUAAUGUAUAAUAGAAAAAAAAACAACAACAACAACAACAAGGAGCUGGUCCACUUUAUUCAAUUACACUCAAUCAAGAUGAUGAUACUCCUCCUCCUGUCCCUCCUGCCUAUAAUCCUGAGGGAGUACAGGAAUACUCUGUAUUGAAGAGAGAGGGAGAGAAUAAGGGUCAACAGGGUCUGUCUACUGGUGCUACUGGACUAUAUUCAACCAUUAAUAAAAACACCAACAACCAGGUAUGG